CCCUUAGAUGGCCUGGGCGGCACGCGCGCUACAAUGAUGCAUUCAAAAAGUCUUCUGACCUUAGAAGGUUGGGUAUUCUCCAAAGUGCAUCGUGAUGGGAAUAGUUUAUUGCAAUUUUUAAUCUUGAACGAGGAAUUCCUAGUAAGUACAGGUCAUCAACUUGUGUUGAUUACGUCCCUGCCCUUUGUACACACCGCCCGUCGCUCCUACUGAUUGAGUGUCUCGGUGAAUUCUUUGAUCUUCUGUCGAUUCAGUUCACUGAUCCGACGGUGGAAAGUUGAAUGAACUUCGUCACUUAGAGGAAGGAGAAGUCGUAACA
rnacentral:rRNA from 1 species